CUUUGAGUAGAUGUUGGGGGUGUUGAGGUCUAGUGAGCAGAGAAGACUCUUGGCCAGACAGACGGCUUCUCACUGGCGGGACGCGUCUCACUGGCGGGACGCGAGGGUCUCCAUGCGCUGGAAAUCUCUCCAGUACCAGGAGCAGCUGGUAGAUAGCAAGGAGCUGCAGCCUAUUGCCAGCCAUCUGAUCUCCGCCAGGGACUUGGGUUCUCUGUGUAGAUAGUUCCAAAGGAGGCUACCCCUGAGAGCCCUUAACUUCAACCUCAGGGCAGGCCCCUCCUGGAAACACCUAGGAACCACAGAGUCAGGGCAGCAGAGACUCCAGGCUUCAGCUUGCUCAGCUAAGAGAACCCUGGGUGCCAUAUCACAGAGAAUCCAGGAGUCCUGCCAAAGUGCCACCAAGUGGCUAGUGGAGACCCAAGUGAAGGCCAGAAGGAAGAAGGGGUACAAAAGGGCAGUGGCUCCCCAGCUCACAGCCUGGGCCAGAGGAGGACCCGGCUGUCUGGAGCCACAGACCCCUGGGCAUCACCGCCUUUCUGCCCGGACAGACUCAUGUGCCCAAACACUACAGCAAUGGAGGCAGGAAGCCGCCUUCCAGAGCCCCUACUCCUUGACAGAGCCUCUCUACUCUACCAGCGAGUCUGAUAGUGGCCUAGGGUCUGUGGGAGGGCAGGAAUUCAGCAUCUCCAGAAGCUGUGCCAAGAGCUGGAUGAAGCCAUUAUGGCUUUAGAAAGGAAACAAGCCCUGACUGACCACCAAGGCUUCAUACCCAAGAAUGUCUGUGCUUCCCCAUGAGCUUCCUGGCAGAAGCUCCUAGGAGUCAUGAGUACCCCUGGGCCACUGCUAAUAAGGACCUGACUAGCAAGGGGCCCAGAGCCCCCUGCUCCAGCCACAUCUGGACCCAUCAGUGACUGCCUGCCACAGCCUGAGUGAGACCGUCUUGGGGAGACCUUGCAAAGGUGGGGAAAAUUGUUCCUUCUACUCCCCCAGGGAACUCUUGGGCUUAGAAAUUCAUCGUAUACUUGACCAGGAGGCCUGGUAUUUGCUUCGUCUAUAAUGUGAAGUGCCAGCAUCAGAUGUUUGAGAGCUCUGAACUGUGUACCCAGGUGCCUGGUUUUUGGGGAGUCAUCCACAGAGUCACUCGCCCACUUGUUUCUGGUGCCAAGGAUCUUGGGGGCACCACUUUCAUCCCUGCUUUCCCUACCAGGAACCCGGAGGAAGGCAUAGGAGACAGUUCCAGGAUUAAGACUCUGGGCUCACAGGUAGCUAUAUGUAUGCUCAAGGCAGAGUGCUGUGGGUGUGCCAGGAGGGGUAGCCCUGUUCGAGAGCAACUUCUGCCCUUUGUAAAUUAUUUAAGAAACGUGCUUUGUCAUUUUAUUAGAAAGAAGCCAGCCUGUGACUUUCCUAGCUAACACUGCUUUCUCAUAAUAAAGACUGCUUGCA